GCUGGAUGUAGCUCAGUUGGUAGAGUGCUUGCCUUGCAUGCAGAAGGCCCUGGGUUCAAUCCCCAGCACCAACA
rnacentral:tRNA from 1 species